AUUUGGUCCUGCCAUGCGGGCAGGGGACUGUACUCGAUGACCUCUCGAGGUCCCUUCCAGUCCUAUAAUCUAUGAUUCUAUGAUUCUAUGAUACUGCCGAGCACUAAUCCGCUAAUCUUGGGUAACUAACCUGGGAUACUUAGGCCUAAUUUUCAAAAGAACUGGACAUUUACAGCACUCACUGGAAUUGUAGGUGUUCAGUGUUAACAACUCUCUCCAUUUUAUUGUGUCUUGCAGUACUGUGUGGAUUUUUUUUUUAAAUCCCCAACAGCUAGAAUCAGGCUAUUACCCAACAAAGUCAACUUUCAUUAAAGAAAUCAAGUUUCUAGCCCAUAAGGCAGUGGAGAAAAGUUUUAAAAUGUGAACCUUAAACCUUCCAAUACUAGAAAGCAAAUAAAAAUAACCCAUUUGUUAUUAUUUAAAUCUGAUGGUAUUUGGGGAUGUGAUUUAAGAUUUUUGAAUGCCUUGGGUUGAAAAUCCCAAAUGUCUCACUUUGGGGAUCCAAAAUUUGAGUUACCCAGAAUCAGUGGGCACUUCUGAAAAUGUGAGCCUUAAUCUUUGUGCCUCAUCUUACCAACUUGGAAAACAGAUAUUAUAAUAAUACCUAUCUCUUAAGGAUAUUGUGAGACUUAAUUAAUGUUUGUAAAGCACUUUAAGGUCCUCAGAUGGAAAGCAUAGAAGUGCAAAAUAUUAUUCCCAUAGUUGUAGCUAAUUAUUCUGGGGUGUUCCAGGUGCUUCUAGACAGCAUACAUUUGCUUCUCAGCUGUAUUAAAAGUUUACUUUUUUAACCAGUGUUGCACUAAAUUGCUCUGGGUGUGAAUCUUUACAACAGUUAUCACGUGAUCACGAAUAACAACAGAGCAGGGUCUGUUUAUUCUCCAGCCUCAAAACUCACACAAUCCUUUCAGAGGCUAUUGGUGAAUAGAAUACACACCACAUGGUGCCAGAAAGGACUCCUGUGGGAACCUUUUGAGAACAUAACAACUGUCUGAUUACCUUCCAUCCCAUAGUUUCACACUCUGCCUCUAACCUGUUGGACAGAAAUCAAGGCAAUGUAUCUCACUAGCCCACCAAAGUUGAACCUACUGAGAGCAUGAAGUGAAAAGCCUUAAACUGAGUUUGCAGUGGGAGAGCCCUUUAACCUUUUUCUUUUUCAUUUGCUGAUGCCAGGAAGUGAAGAAACUGUGAGACAGCCCUGUCUGAAUGGAGAUGCUUAUGAAAAACAAAACCAGUACUGGUUUUAAGGAUAAAAUUUACACACAGGUGUAUUGGCCAGGUUAACUGAAUAUGUAACCACUGCAAAAGAAGAGAUUAAGGGAGCCCAACAUCACACUAUGUCCCUCCACUCAGUGGUUAGAGCACUCCCCUGAGAGGCGUCGUUCAAACUCUUUCUCCCCCUCUGUCAAAGAGGUGGGAAUUGAACCUGUGUCUUCCACAUCCCAGAUGUGUAUCUCUCAGUUCAAAUCUUCAGACUUGCAGCGUCAAUUUACUUCGAGCCAUGCACAUAUGGAUCAAGAAUUCCCACAAGGUUCUGAAGUCCGCACUUUAAAACUGAAAACUUAGAAAAAACAAAUGGAUAUAGAAGCCCAGUUCUUCACCGGAUUUGCCAACCGAUCACAAACUGUAACGUUAGUCUCCUAUUAUGUGGCCUGGCACAUAGCCCAUGCAAAAAAGCCCUACUCUGAAGGCGAGUUUGUAAAAACAUACUUCACUGAUGUGAUUUCAGUCCUGUCACCAGAGAAUGAUAACCUACAGAAGAAAAUUUCUGGUCUGCAGCUUUCACCCCACACAGUUGAACGCAGAAUCUCCGACCUGAACAGUGACAUCGAAUCUCAACUGCACUUGCAACUUCAGCAGUGUGAGUAUUUGAGCAUCGCUUUGGAUGAGUUGUGCGAUGCAUAGGCUAAACCUCAAUUAUUGGUAUUUUUGUCCACACUGUGUCUGAUGACUGUGUUGUAAGGGAAGAACUUCUCAAUAUUGUGUCACUAAGGGACAGAACUGGUGGACGAGAUCUAAAGGAGGUGUUGAUGUUGGUAGUUGCGAAAAGCCACUUGCCUUUACCUAAGCUCACUGCCAUUGCAAUGGAUGGGGCUCUGUUAAUGUGGGGAUCUGCAAAUGGAUUAGUAGGGCUUUGUAAGUCUGAUGAAAGCUUUCCCAAAUUUUGGACAUUUCACUGUAUUAUUCAUUGGGAGCAACUGGUAUCUAAGAAUCUCAAAUUUGAUCACGUCAUGAAACUUUUCUUGCACAUCAUGAAUUUCAUUUGCUCAAAUGCACUCAAUCACAGACAAUUUCAAAAUCUAACUAAAGAACUGGAUGAAGACGACUCCCUUGCCGAUUUGCUAUUUCACUGCGCAGAUCGAUGGUUCUCGAGAGGUAAAGUUAUUUCCUGUUUUUUCGAGCUCCUCGAACCAGUAAAAUUGUUUAUGGAGGAGAAACACAGAAUACACCUCAUGCUUACAGAUCCUGGGUGGGUUCUAGAUUUGGCAUUUCUUGCAGACAUGCUGCUGCAUUUGGAUAAACCAAAUGUGGACUUACAAGGAAAAUUCUGGAUGCUGUCUGAUCUAGUGCAAAGCGUAUUUGCAUUCAUGAACAAACUGCAGUUGUUUCUCAGACAAAUAGUUGAGGGAGAGCUGACACACUUUCCCUCAAUGUCACAACUUCAAGCCAGAUCAAAAGAGAAAGGAGCAGAACCCCUAAGAUGGAGCAGAACUAGAUAUGUGAGCAUGAUUAAAGAUCUUAGGGACAGUUUUGAGGAAAGAUUCCAAGAUUUGCAGCAGAAAAGACCUCAUAUCAGAUUUCUGAUUGACCCUUUUAGUGCUGAAGCCAACUGUCUGAAGCUCACUGCCUUUAGUCACUGACGAAGCAACAUCCAAAAUGGAAAUAAUAGAACUUUUGGAAGAUGACAGAUUGAAAUCUGUUCAGAAGACAGAGGGGACCCUUACUUUCGGGAAAUCUGUACCAAAGGAUAAAUACCCCAACAUCAGAGGUGCAGCCCUAAAAUUAAUCUCUAUGUUUGCUUCAUCCUGUCUUUGUGAGUCUGUUUUCUCAACACUCAAACAUGUGAAAUCCAAGCACUGAUCCAUUUUGACAGACAGCCACUUAAGAGAAUUGCUGCAUGUGAGCACAACUGAACAAAAAACAAAUUUCAAGGGAAUUGUUGAAAGCAAGGAUUGCCAGAAGUCCCACUAAGUAAAAGGGAAGAAUAUUAUUCCUGGUCAAUAAUAAGUAAUACUGCAGAAAUCUGAGCUGAGUCUGAUGGCACCCUGCAACAUAUAUAUGAUUAUGCAGCCUGUGUGAUAUUUUGGGAAGUAGACCUGCACAAUGUGGCAUCCUGCUGGUUACUGCUACAACACCAGCCUUCUCACCACCUUCUCUCUGUCAAGUUUUCUCCUCCCAAACUGACUCAGAAGGUGUGCUCACACACAGGGCCAAUUCUUCAGAGAGCCUUCAACCCAGCCUCCAUUUGGGAGCAAUGUGCUAUGCAAUUUGAACACCAUUAUUUGUGCAUUCCAUUGUUUGCAUAGCUGUGUAUGCAAAAGCAGAAAGCAUUUUUUGAAGAUUUCACCCACAAGAUUCCUGAUACAGGGAAUACAUGGCUUAAAAGUCACCAAACAUCCCAUUCCACAUAUUAGCUGCCUCCAAAUGGAAACAGCCAGAAACACUGGGUACCGAAAUACUGAAAGGCCAAGUUUUGGCCUUGGAAACAUUGAUGAAAAAUAAAAAAGGAAAAUACUAGGUAAUCUGGCUUCAUUUGUCAGGUUUAUAGAAGAGGAGUUACCAGUGACCAGAACACCAAAAUAUUUGAACACUUAUUUGUUGCAAAUGAUUUAUUCAAUGAAUUCAGCCCUUUUAUUAUAUGUGAACUAUCUGUGUAAUAGCAAACCCUGGAUCCUGCCCCGCCCCCAGCCUGUGCAGGGCCCUGCAACAAAAGAGAUCAAAUUAAUGCCUGCCCAGACAACACAUUUGAAUCAAGAAUAUUUGGAACUCCAAAAAGUGUUUGAAUAGUUUUCCCUCCAACACACUACUCAUCCAGCAAGCCAAGUUAUGGAAAUAUGCUGAAUAGCUCAAAACCAAAUUAACAUAAUUCCAGAGACCC